ACGCACGCUGGCGGCGUGCUUAACACAUGCAAGUCGCACGGAAGGGCCCUGCUUUUGUGGGGUGCUCGAGUGGCGAACGGGUGAGUAACACGUGAGUAACCUGCCCUUGACUUUGGGAUAACUUCAGGAAACUGGGGCUAAUACCGGAUAGGAGCUCCUGCUGCAUGGUGGGGGUUGGAAAGUUUCGGCGGUUGGGGAUGGACUCGCGGCUUAUCAGCUUGUUGGUGGGGUAGUGGCUUACCAAGGCUUUGACGGGUAGCCGGCCUGAGAGGGUGACCGGCCACAUUGGGACUGAGAUACGGCCCAGACUCCUACGGGAGGCAGCAGUGGGGAAUAUUGCACAAUGGGCGGAAGCCUGAUGCAGCAACGCCGCGUGCGGGAUGACGGCCUUCGGGUUGUAAACCGCUUUCGCCUGUGACGAAGCGUGAGUGACGGUAAUGGGUAAAGAAGCACCGGCUAACUACGUG
rnacentral:rRNA from 1 species